GAAAGUGACAUGGAAAUGUCCGCCGUGGAGGGUGAUAGCCCCGUCCAUCCCGAUCAGGACGCUCCGUAAACAGAAUAUUUCAGAUGAGUCGGGUAGUUUGGGAAUGCUGCUCUAAUUGGUGGUAAAUCUCAUCAAAGGCUAAAUAACGGUGGGAGACCGAUAGCGAACAAGUACCGUGAGGGAAAGAUGAAAAGCACUUUGAAAAGAGGGUGAAAAGAACCUGAAACCGUUACGGGGGAAGCGGAUUGCAUUAUUCUAGUUUUAACGUGUUCAACCUUUUAGGUGCAUUGACGUUAAAACUUAUCUGCUGUGGAUUUUUGAUAAUUGAAAAUGAAUUAUUAAAGAUUGAGGGCUCCACUUUGUGUGAGGACAGCGGAUUGACGAUGCGAUACGACCCGUCUUGAAACACGGACCAAGGAGUCUAGCGCGGGUGCGAGUCGGAAGGUGUAAAAACCUGUGGGCGAAGUGAAAGCGAGAUAAAACUCUCAGUUUGAGGCGGCAUAUUUUCGUUGAAAAUAGGUCCGACCUUGAGCAGUUGCGCUGGGACCCGAAAGAUGGUGAACUAUGCCGGAGUAGGGCAAAGCCAGAGGAAACUCUGGUGGAGGCUCGUAGCGGUGCUGACGUGCAAAUCGCUCGUCGAACUUGGGUAUAGGGGCGAAAGACUAAUCGAACCAUCUAGUAGCU
rnacentral:rRNA from 1 species